rnacentral:rRNA from 1 species
AUUGAACGCUAGCGGGAUGCUUUACACAUGCAAGUCGAACGGAGUGGCGGACGGGUGAGUGAUAUAGCGGAACGUGCCCAGUAGCGGGGGAUAACUACGCGAAAGAGUGGCUAAUACCGCAUACUAUGGGAUCGGCCGAGAUCGGAGUAGCUAGUUGGUGGGGUAAAGGCUCACCAAGGGAACGAUCCGUAGCUGGCUUGAGAGGGUGACCAGCCACACUGGGACUGAGACACGGCCCAGACUCCUACGGGAGGCAGCAGUGGGGAAUUUUCGGCAAUGGGGGAAAGCCUGAUCGAGCCAUCCCGCGUGUAUGAUGAAGGCCUUCGGGUUGUAAAGUACUGUUGGCAGAGAAGCGGUAUCUGCACAAUAAGCAACGGCUAACUACGUGCCAGCAGCCGCGGUAAUAC